GGGGCUAUGGUUCAGUGGCAGAACAUCUUCCUGUCAUGCAGAAGAUCCCAGGUUCAAUCACAGGAAUCUCCA
rnacentral:tRNA from 1 species